UACAGAGGGGGCAAGCGUUGUUCGGAAUUACUGGGCGUAAAGGGCGCGUAGGCGGCCUGUUAAGUCGAACGUGAAAUCCCCGGGCUCAACCCGGGAACUGCGUCCGAUACUGGCAAGCUUGAAUCCGGGAGAGGGAUGCGGAAUUCCAGGUGUAGCGGUGAAAUGCGUAGAUAUCUGGAGGAACACCGGUGGCGAAGGCGGCAUCCUGGACCAAUACUGACACUGAGGAGCGAAAGCCAGGGGAGCAAACGGG
rnacentral:rRNA from 1 species